UGAACGCUGGCGGCGUGCUUAACACAUGCAAGUCGAACGGAAAGGCUCCUGCUUGCAGGGGUACUCGAGUGGCGAACGGGUGAGUAACACGUGGGUGAUCUGCCCUGCACUUCGGGAUAAGCCUGGGAAACUGGGUCUAAUACCGGAUAGGACCACAUUUUGGAUGGUGUGGUGGAAAGUUUUUCGGUGUGGGAUGAGCUCGCGGCCUAUCAGCUUGUUGGUGGGGUAAUGGCCUACCAAGGCGUCGACGGGUAGCCGGCCUGAGAGGGUGUACGGCCACAUUGGGACUGAGAUACGGCACAGACUCCUACGGGAGGCAGCAAUGGGGAAUAUUGCACAAUGGGCGCAAGCCUGAUGCAGCGACGCCGCGUGGGGGAUGACGGCCUUCGGGUUGUAAACUCCUUUCGCUAGGGAAGAAGCGUUUUUGUGACGGUACCUGGAGAAGAAGCACCGGCUAACUACGUG
rnacentral:rRNA from 1 species